rnacentral:rRNA from 1 species
AUCUGGGCGGCGGAAUUCAGGAUGGCGAACGUGUCUUCCGGGCGCGUUGGUCGUUUGAUAUUUCCGUCGCCGAACACACACAGACGUCGCGACCUGUUCGCGGUCGGUCCCUGCUUCGGAGGAGCCGCGUUCGAGUUCGUUGUGAGCGCGUUUCGGCGCGUUUAACGGCGAAGGCGCGGACUUCUGGCUGGCCGUCGGACAGUACGCUCAACGGUGUCCGGCGUCGUCGUAUUCGUACGCGCGCGCGCCGGUGCCGGUCUGCGACGAAUUCUUCGGGCCUCUUUCCGACCCGUCUUGAAACACGGACCAAGGAGUCUAACAUGCGCGCGAGUCGCGGGGUGUCGAGCGUACUUCGGUGCGUUCGUUACGUUGCGAAACCCGUACAUGUCGAAGGCGUAAUGAAAGUGAAUGGGGAAGAUGGUGUUCCGAGUACACGUUCCGCGAUCGUCGGUAUCGCGGCCGGACGCCCGCAUUCCCGGGGCGUCUCAACGGCCCGUCGUGGACGCGGACAGUCGUCUCUCGGGGCGGCUGUCGGUCGGCGACGAACCGA